UUUCCGGUUGAUCCUGCCAGAGGCUACUGCCAUCAGAGUUCGAUUAAGCCAUGUUAGUCGAGGGUACCUCUUCUUCUUCGGAGGAUGAGGUAACCCGGCGGACGGCUCAGUAACACGUGGAUAACUUGCCCUUGGGUCUGGGAUAACCCCUGGGAAACUGGGGCUAAUACCGGAUAGAGCAUCGAUCGCUGGAAUGCCUGAUGUUCGAAAACUACGGUGCCCAAGGAUAGGUCUGCGGCUGAUUAGGUUGUUGUUGAUGUAAUGGACCAACAAGCCUACGAUCGGUACGGGUUGUGAGAGCAAUAGCCCGGAGAUGGGUUCUGAGAAAAGAACCCAGGUCCUACGGGACGCAUCAGGCGCGAAAACUUUACAAUGUGCGAAAGCACGAUAAGGGAACUCUGAGUGCCCCCUAAGGGGGCUGUUCUAGUGUCUAAAAAGCAAUAGAAGUAAGGGCUGGGCAAGACCGGUGCCAGCCGCCGCGGUAACACCGGCAGCCCAAGUGGUAGCCACGUUUAUUGGGUCUAAAGCGUUCGUAGCCGGCUUGGUAAGUUCCUUGGUAAAUUUAGCCGCUUAACGGUUAAGCUUUCAGGGAAUACUGCUUGGCUUGGGACUGGGAGAGGUCAGAGGUACUCCAGGGGUAGGGGUGAAAUCCAUUAAUCCUUGGGGGACCACCGGUAGCGAAGGCGUCUGACCAGACCAGCUCCGACGGUGAGGGACGAAGGCUAGGGGCGCGAACCGGAUUAGAUACCCGGGUAGUCCUAGCUGUAAACGAUGCGGGCUAGGUGUUGGCAUUACUGCGAGUGGUGCCAGUGCCGAAGGGAAGCCGUUAACUCGCCAUCUGGGGAGUACGGUCGCAAGGCUUAAACUUAAAGGAAUGGCGGGGGAGCACCACAAGCAGAAUGG
rnacentral:rRNA from 1 species